rnacentral:rRNA from 1 species
GACGUAGGGCGCGAGCGUUGUCCGGAUUUAUUGGGCGUAAAGAGCUCGUAGGCGGUUUGUCGCGUCGAAUGUGAAAACCCGGGGCUCAACCCCGGGCCUGCAUUCGAUACGGGCAGACUAGAGUUCGGUAGGGGAGACUGGAAUUCCUGGUGUAGCGGUGAAAUGCGCAGAUAUCAGGAGGAACACCGGUGGCGAAGGCGGUUCUCUGGGCAUUACCUGACGCUGAGGAGCGAAAGUGUGGGGAGCGAACAGG